rnacentral:rRNA from 1 species
UACGAAGGGGGCUAGCGUUGUUCGGAUUUACUGGGCGUAAAGCGCACGUAGGCGGAUUUUUAAGUCAGGGGUGAAAUCCCGGGGCUCAACCCCAGAACUGCCUUUGAUACUGGAAGUCUUGAGUAUGGUAGAGGUGAGUGGAAUUCCGAGUGUAGAGGUGAAAUUCGUAGAUAUUCGGAGGAACACCAGUGGCGAAGGCGGCUCACUGGACCAUUACUGACGCUGAGGUGCGAAAGCGCGGGGAGCGAACAGG